GGGUUCGAUCAUGAAAGCUCCAGAUUGAACGCUGGCGGGAUGUCUUUACACAUGCAAGUCGACAGCAGCCUGGACUUCGGUCUGGUGGCGAGUGGCGAACGGGUGAGUAAUGUCCGGAACGUGCCUAGUAGCGGGGAUAACUACGCGAAGCUAGCUAAUACGCCACGCGCUCCCGGAAAGCGGGGACCUUCCGGGCCUCCGCACUAUUAGAGCGGCCGAUAUCGGAUUAGCUAGUUGGUGGGGUAACGGCUCGCAAGGCGACGAUCCGUAGCGCUGGUUUGAAGGAACGACCGGCCACUGGGACUGAGACACGGCCCAGACUCCUACGGGAGGCAGCAGUGGGGAAUUUUGGACAAUGGGGAAACCCUGAUCCAGCCAUCCCGCGUGUGCGAUGAAGGCCUUCGGGUUGUAAGCACUUUUGGCAGGAAAGAAACGGCUGGGAUAUGCCCGUGCAACUGACGGUACCUGCAGAAUAAGCACCGGCUAACUACGUGCCAGCAGCCGCGGUAAUACGGCGGGUGCAAGCGUUAAUCAGACCACUGGGCGUAAAGCGUGCGCAGGCGAUUCGGAAGAAGAUGUGAAAUCCCAGAGCUUAACGAGACAUGCAUUUUUGUACCGAGCUUAGUCAUGUCCGGGAGGUGGGAUUCCGCGUGUAGCAGUGAAAUGCGUAGAUAUGCGGAGGAACACCGAUGGCGAGCCUCCUGGGAUAACACUGACGCUCAUGCACGAAAGCGUGGGGAGCAAACAGGAUUAGAUACCCUGGUAGUCCACGCCUAAACGAUGUCAACUAGCUGUUGGGGCCUUCGGGCCUUGGUAGCGUAACGCGUGAUUGACCGCCUGGGAAUACGGUCGCAAGAUUAAAACUCAAAAUUGACGAGGACCACACGGCAGGUGGAUGAUGUGGAUUAAUUCGAUGCAACAUAACCUUACCUACCCUUGACAUGUCUGGAAUCCCGAAAAGAGAUUUGGGAGUGCUCAUAAAGAGAACCGGAACACAGGUGCUGCAUGGCUGUCGUCAGCUCGUGUCGUGAGAUGUUGGGUUAAGUCCUGGCGAGGGCACAACCCUUGUCAUUAGUUGCUACGAAAGGCCUCUAAUGGGGCCGCAGUGACAAACCGGGAGGAAGGUGGGGUGUCUGACGUCCCUAUCCCCCAUAACCUUAUAGGUAGAACUCGCACGUCAUACAAUGAGUCAGGACAGAGAGUCGCCAACCGAGGAGAAUAAUCCCAACACCGAUCGUCGCAGUCAUACAACUCAUUCCGCAGAAUCGCUAUGUUAGCCGCGGAUCAGCAUGUCGCAUUGAAUACGUUCCCAGUCUCCACUUUUUACUUUACCGUCUUUUCGUCGGCAAAUGGUUUACAGAAAGUAGUUAGCCCUAACCGUAAGGCGAUUGCGAUUCAUGACUGGAGGCGGGAUCAACAAGGUAA
rnacentral:rRNA from 1 species